UUUUAAGGUACCAGAUGCAGUAGCCUUCAGGACAAUCCCCCGAACCUGAUCCGUAUAACUUGGCUUGCACACUGUUACCAAAGUUUUCAGAAAUUGAGAAAGGAGAGAAAUGAAUUAAACUAGCAUCUAGCGCUGCGAAAAACCCAUCUUCUUGAAAUAGCUGUUGACAAUCGCCUUUCACAAGUAAGUAUCUUUGUUGAAUUUGUUGAUGAGGUAAUUUACCUUCAUCAACACUAGAGACAAUUUUUUUGGCACUAAGAGUACUACCAUCUUUCAGUACUAUUUUACUCUCAUCAAUUUUAUCUAUUGCUUGACCGAGCAUAAAUGUACCACCCAUUACUGCAGAUGACCGACAAAAUCCUUGACAUAGUUCUGAUCCUGUUCCAUACAUUGCAAGUAGGUAUGAGUAGUCACCGUACAUUCCAAAUGAAUGAAAAUAUUUAAGGACAGUGUCCAGUGCAUCCUUGGUAGGAAUGUCCUUACUUAACGAUUGACAUAACCCAUAAAUAAUACUCUCCUCGAUAGCACCCGACAACUGGAAAACUUCCUCUAGAAAUUUAUAAAAGGGCUUAGAUUCCCAUUCCUUUACAAGAUUUUGAUUCUGUUCGUCAGCGAUGUUGGAAACAAAUUUCAUAAAACGCAUCACAAUUCGUUUUGAUGCAAGGGAUAAGUUUUUGUUAUUAAAAAUGUCUGCACGAGACUCAGGAACUUUGAUCCAUUCCUCAUUAGAUGUAAGUAACCGAAAGCUCCUUGCUGGCUUUAGUAAAAGGUACUUGUAAAUCUUUGUUUCAGAAAGUAGCUUAACUAACUCACUUGAGGCAAAGAUUUCUUGAGGAUGAAAUUGAAUAACAGAGCCUUUGUUUUUGGGAAUUAAAUCUUUGUUUAGAAAUUGUACUUCAAAUCUUUUCAACGGGGAUUUGUGCGAACCAUUGUCGUUCAAAAUUUGCGAGCUGUCGACUUUCUUUAUUUUUUCGUUUAUUUGCUCUAAAUCACGUAAAGUCAGUGAUCCGUCAAUUUCUCCGUAGAAGCUGUUCUCAUCAAUAUGCAAUACACGUUGAUUAGCCCAGGAUAAUGCUCUAAAUAAUUCAAACAGUCAGCAACAAUAUAAAACGAAACCAAACAUACGCGGAUAAUAUUGAAUUUCUUAAAUUAGUUCCUACAAUUAUAACGUCAUAACUAUUUGGAUCAUCCAUUGAGAAUUUUAUUGAAGUGGUAGAAUGGGCAGUUACAUGGUAGUAGAUACA